AGAAACUAGUUUGUAAUCACGAAAAGCGAAACUUUUUAUUUUAUUUAAAGAACCAGCCAAGUGAAAAAAGACAGACAAACACAUUGACAGAACAGAGAGAACAGCCAGAACCACUGAUAGAAACAACAGGAAAACAGACAGAGGAGCAACACACGGGACAGAGAGAGCAGGAGACGGGUCAGCGAGAGCAACAGACAGGACAGACUGACAAACAUGCAGACUGGGAGCAACAGACAGGACAAAUAGAAGCGCAUGCAGAGGAGCAAAAGACAGGACAAAUGGAACGACCAACAGAGCAGAUGGAAGAAGACACAGAGAAACAAACAGAAGAGACUCACUCCCCCAAUCCUACAGCAGGGCCAGAAGAGUCGUGCUCUGGCUGGAGCAGCAACAUAUAGAUCCAUUUAAAAAAAUGAGUGGACCUUUUCAUGGCCAUUUAUUACCAGAAGGACCCUCAUCACGCACUACUGGUGUGCAGUGUGCCGUUUUGAAAACUCCCGUUGCCACCAGGCUGUGACAGAUGUAGUGCGCCACAUAAAAACCAAAGGCCACCAAGAAAAGAAACGGGCUCACUCAGCGACAAUAUCACAAUAUGCAAUGCCCAUUCCCUCUGUUGGGGGCAUGUCUGCACAAGAUGCUAAGGUAUCCCAUUUUGAUUUGGAGGUCAUGAUGGUGGACAUCGGUUACUGGUUCAAGGGUAGCACAAAUCGGAAAGGAUACCCGACAGAGUUUUGUGAGCUCCAUGAAGUGGAGUACAUGGAGGUCCUCAUCCGUGUCUCGGUUCGUUGGCUAAGCCUUUGAACGUUGUUUGACCAGGAUCCUCAGACUUUAUGAACCUCUGGCCAGCUACUUCAAAUCUGCUGAUGAAAAUCCGGCCAGGUUCAAGAGGCUUGUGCAGACGUUCACUGACCCCAUGACAGAAGUGUACCUGCUGUUCUUUCAAGCCACCGUACCAACUUUCACUACUUUCAACUUGCUUCGGUCAUCAAUAUUUAUGUUAUAUGAUGAGAUGGUGAAAUUUGUACGCAAGCUUUGUUCAAAGUUCAUUGUUCCAGCCGCUCUGCAGGGUCUUGAGGAGCCUGGUGAUAUUGCCUUUGAAGAGAAGGCAAACCAUUUACCAGGAAGAAAGUUGCACAUUGGGUUCACACAACCAGGGCUAAACUCAACAGACUACUUGACGAGGGUGACAUCACACCACAGCAGGUGGAUUCAUUCCAUGAAGCUGUGUUAUGUUUCCGGACAAGUGCUGUGGACUAUGCACUAAAGAAGCUGCCACUGAAAGAGCCACGGCUCAAACAUUAGACAUUUGUAGAUGCACGGCAGAGGGCUGAAAGGGACACCAGAGAUGUCCUGUACUUUGUUGAAAGGUUUCCCCAUCUCCUCCCAUACCAUGGUCCAGAGGAGCAUGACCUUCUGGGUGAGGGGUUUCUAAGUUAUCAGACCAUGCCAAUGAUAUCCCUGUAGGACGAAACUGAAAUGGAAAGCUUCUGGGCUGAAAUGGCAACCCGGAAACAUAAGCCUAGCAUUGGAGGGCACCCUGUCCUCAAUAAUGACCAUAAAGAUGGCCGACCUGGAGCCCUGUUUCAAAUGGGAGCCCCCUCGGAUGUCAUCAAGGCCUCCAAGAAGGCCACAGCCAGAGGCCAGUAUAACCGUGCCCACAGAUCAUAGACAAGGACUAGCUUCUGAUCUGCAUCCGAUACUGAUGACCUCAUUUUUUGUUAUUUUUGUAAUGCGUUCAUCCGUUUUAUUGCUUUAUUGCUGUUUAAGCACUUCAAGCACUUCAUAUGUUGCACUUUAUUUGUUUCUAAUGGACCAUGUGGUGGGAGGCUUUAAAUGAUGAAUAAUUUAUCUCCCUAACUAAUCUUGUCGUUUUUGGCUGAACAUAAAUCAUUAAGUGCUCUUAAGAAUACAAUUAUUCACAAUAUAGGUUAGGUUUCAGUUCAGAAUUUGUUUAAUACCAUUGUUGAUCAAAAUAUCAUUAAACCUACCUAGGUCAAAUCUUAAACACUGGUCUAUGAAUACGGCUAUAUUGUGGCACAUAGACAGUCAUUUAGGCACAACAAUAGUUUUCUGGUUUAUUGUUCAACUCCAGACUAGGCCCCUACAAUUCCUAAAGCCAAACAUGAAUCAGAAUAAGUUCAGGUAUUGCACAUCUUUAGCAGACCACCCAAAAAUCCACUAAAAUGCAGGAAAUCACAUCUACUUUAUCCAAAAUUUCCUGGUGGUUGACCUUCACAGCUUCACAGAAUGUAACCAAUUUUGUCCAUCUCCAGUGAGCUGCCCCUAUGAACGGCUUUGGGCCUCCCCACAAACCACCAAAAUGCUGGGUACAACAUGGGUUCAACAUCCAAUCAAUUAAAAUUCUCUAAAAUCUGAGCCACCAACUUGUGUGGCUGCGUUGUCGGGGGUAAUUUUGGUUACCCCCGACAAAAUCUUACUCCAGGUUUUUUUGAAAAGUUGGCAGCUCUGAAGACUGCUAGUGCUAAGGCGAGUAAGUUGCCUUAGCAGUAGAUAUGAGAACACUAGUGGCCCUGGUGAAGAGCGGAUUUAAUGAUUAUAACCGUUUGAAUGAUUGUAUUAUUCAUCGAAGGGUCAGAUGGUUCUGCCUGCCAUACAUCCAGAGACUCCAGUGCUUGGUUCAAAGCCUGAUAAGCUGGAGCCACAGCCCUCAGCUCGCUGUGAAGUUCACGUUGAGGUGAACGGUGUCUGACAGCCUUUCUCUCAUACACAGGCAAAGGUCUGAGGUUGUAUGAGCAGCACUCUCCCUCAUCACAGGAGGUGCUGGAAUCUGACUUGGUGGCUUCUCUGGGCUGAACUUCUCUCUUUGUGGCUUCUUCUCCACACCAGAAUCCCGUUGCUCAUGGCUGACUGGCAAGAGGAGGUUGCGGUAGAGAACCCGGAGGGUUCGGUCGGCUGUUUCUGCUUGGACACGAUAAACUGGACCGUCUCCUAGUGACACAGUGGAUCUUCCCUUCCCAGUAAGGUGAGGUGGUGAUCUACUACAACAAGGUCGUACUCGAGUCAUAGCCUCCUUUACUGGGAUCGAGGUGCAUGUGGUCGUCAGAAAGCAACUCAAAAGGGGCACUGGUUGUGAUUGAUCCAAUUGGUUCUUUCUCAAUAACAGCAGGUCGUUUUUGUGUAUGAAAACAGUUAACAAUUAUGUUAUGCAGUUAUGCAAUUAACCGCUAAAACCAGAAAAUGGGAGGGGGGUACUGUUUUAUAAAACAAGCCAUUUUCUAUACCUUUUUCUUGUCUACCUUUUGUCAGUUAGAUGCAUGGU